rnacentral:rRNA from 1 species
CGAGCUUGUUCCUUUCGGGGAGCAGGUUAGUGGCGCACGGGUGCGUAACGCGUAUGCAACCUACCUUCCACAGGGGGAUAGCCCGGGGAAACCCGGAUUAAUACCGCAUGACAUCACUUGAGGGCAUCCGAAGGUGAUCAAAGCUGAGGCGGUGGAAGAUGGGCAUGCGUGCCAUUAGCUAGUUGGCGGGGUAAAGGCCCACCAAGGCGACGAUGGCUAGGGGUUCUGAGAGGAUGGUCCCCCACACUGGUACUGAGACACGGACCAGACUCCUACGGGAGGCAGCAGUAGGGAAUAUUGGGCAAUGGCCGAGAGGCUGACCCAGCCAUGCCGCGUGCAGGAAGAAGGCCUUCUGGGUUGUAAACUGCUUUUGUAUGGGAAGAAAACGCUCUUGCGAGAGUAACUGACGGUACCAUACGAAUAAGCACCGGCUAACUCCGUGCCAGCAGCCGCGGUAAUACGGAGGGUGCAAGCGUUGUCCGGAUUUAUUGGGUUUAAAGGGUGCGUAGGCGGCCCGUUAAGUCAGCGGUGAAAUCCCAGGGCUCAACCCUGGAACUGCCGUUGAUACUGGCGGGCUUGAGUUCGGUCGAGGCGGGCGGAACUGGUGGUGUAGCGGUGAAAUGCAUAGAUACCACCAAGAACCCCGAUUGCGAAGGCAGCUCGCUGGCCCGAAACUGACGCUGAGGCACGAAAGCGUGGGGAGCGAACAGGAUUAGAUACCCUGGUAGUCCACGCCGUAAACGAUGAUGACUCGAUGUUUGCGAUACACGGCAAGCG